rnacentral:rRNA from 1 species
GGGUCAUUAGGUUGGUCGUGCCACCGGUACGUACUGGCCUCACUGAUUCCUCCUUCCUGAAGAACCGUAAUGCCAUUAAUUUGGUGUUGCGGGGAAACAGGACUGUUACUUUGAAAAAAUUAGAGUGUUUAAAGCAAGCUAACGCUUGAAUACAUUAGCAUGGAAUAAUGAAAUAGGACGAUCGAUCCUAUUUUGUUGGUUUCUAGGAUUGACGUA